AGUGAACGCUGGCGGUAGGCCUAACACAUGCAAGUCGAACGGCAGCACAGUAAGAGCUUGCUCUUACGGGUGGCGAGUGGCGGACGGGUGAGGAAUACAUCGGAAUCUACUUUUUCGUGGGGGAUAACGUAGGGAAACUUACGCUAAUACCGCAUACGACCUACGGGUGAAAGCAGGGGAUCUUCGGACCUUGCGCGAUUGAAUGAGCCGAUGUCGGAUUAGCUAGUUGGCGGGGUAAAGGCCCACCAAGGCGACGAUCCGUAGCUGGUCUGAGAGGAUGAUCAGCCACACUGGAACUGAGAAACGGUCCAGACUCCUACGGGAGGCAGCAGUGGGGAAUAUUGGACAAUGGGCGCAAGCCUGAUCCAGCCAUACCGCGUAGGUGAAGAAGGCCUUCGGGUUGUAAAGCCCUUUUGUUGGGAAAGAAAAGCAGCAGGUUAAUACCCCGCUGUUCUGACGGUACCCAAAGAAUAAGCACCGGCUAACUUCGU
rnacentral:rRNA from 1 species